rnacentral:rRNA from 1 species
AAAAUCCGGGGUUUCAAGGCCGAGAGCUGAUGACGAGUCGUCUUUUAGAUGACGAAGUGGUUGAUGCCAUGCUUCCAAGAAAAGCUUCUAAGCUUCAGGUAACCAGGAACCGUACCCCAAGCCGACACAGGUGGUCGGGUAGAGAAUACCAAGGCGCUUGAGAGAACUCGGGUGAAGGAACUAGGCAAAAUGGCACCGUAACUUCGGGAGAAGGUGCGCCGGCUAGGGUGAAGGAUUUACUCCGUAAGCUCUGGCUGGUCGAAGAUACCAGGCCGCUGCGACUGUUUAUUAAAAACACAGCACUCUGCAAACACGAAAGUGGACGUAUAGGGUGUGACGCCUGCCCGGUGCCGGAAGGUUAAUUGAUGGGGUUAGCGCAAGCGAAGCUCUUGAUCGAAGCCCCGGUAAACGGCGGCCGUAACGAUAACGGUCCUAAGGUAGCGAAAUUCCUUGUCGGGUAAGUUCCGACCUGCACGAAUGGCGUAACGAUGGCGGCGCUGUCUCCACCCGAGACUCAGUGAAAUUGAAAUCGCUGUGAAGAUGCAGUGUAUCCGCGGCUAGACGGAAAGACCCCGUGAACCUUUACUGUAGCUUUGCACUGGACUUUGAGCCUGCUUGUGUAGGAUAGGUGGGAGGCUUUGAAGCGUGGACGCCAGUUCGCGUGGAGCCAUCCUUGAAAUACCACCCUGGCAUGCUUGAGGUUCUAACUCUGGUCCGUAAUCCGGAUCGAGGACAGUGUAUGGUGGGCAGUUUGACUGGGGCGGUCUCCUCCUAAAGAGUAACGGAGGAGUACGAAGGUGCGCUCAGACCGGUCGGAAAUCGGUCGCAGAGUAUAAAGGCAAAAGCGCGCUUGACUGCGAGACAGACACGUCGAGCAGGUACGAAAGUAGGUCUUAGUGAUCCGGUGGUUCUGUAUGGAAGGGCCAUCGCUCAACGGAUAAAAGGUACUCCGGGAUAACAGGCUGAUACCGCCCAAGAGUUCAUAUCGACGGCGGUGUUUGGCACCUCGAUGUCGGCUCAUCACAUCCUGGGGCUGAAGCCGGUCCCAAGGGUAUGGCUGUUCGCCAUUUAAAGUGGUACGCGAGCUGGGUUUAGAACGUCGUGAGACAGUUCGGUCCCUAUCUGCCGUGGACGUUUGAGAUUUGAGAGGGGCUGCUCCUAGUACGAGAGGACCGGAGUGGACGAACCUCUGGUGUUCCGGUUGUCACGCCAGUGGCAUUGCCGGGUAGCUACGUUCGGAAAAGAUAACCGCUGAAAGCAUCUAAGCGGGAAACUUGCCUCAAGAUGAGAUCUCACUGGGAACUUGAUUCCCCUGAAGGGCCGUCGAAGACUACGACGUUGAUAGGCUGGGUGUGUAAGCGUUGUGAGGCGUUGAGCUAACCAGUACUAAUUGCCCGUGAGGCUUGAC